UGUGAAGUUGACUUUGAUGAUAUGUUGGUC
rnacentral:piRNA from 1 species